CUUCCAGUAGCACCUUAGAGAACAACUAAGCACACGAAAACUCAUACCAAUAACAAACUUAGUUGGUCUCUAAGGUGCUACUGGAAG